GAUGAACGCUGGCGGCGUGCCUAAUACAUGCAAGUCGAGCGAACAGAUGAGGAGCUUGCUCCUCUGACGUUAGCGGCGGACGGGUGAGUAACACGUGGAUAACCUACCUAUAAGACUGGGAUAACUUCGGGAAACCGGAGCUAAUACCGGAUAAUAUAUUGAACCGCAUGGUUCAAUAGUGAAAGACGGUUUUGCUGUCACUUAUAGAUGGAUCCGCGCCGCAUUAGCUAGUUGGUAAGGUAACGGCUUACCAAGGCAACGAUGCGUAGCCGACCUGAGAGGGUGAUCGGCCACACUGGAACUGAGACACGGUCCAGACUCCUACGGCAGGCAGCAGUAGGGAAUCUGCCGCAGUGGGCGAAAGCCUGACGGAGCAACGCCGCGUGGGUGAUGAAGGUCUUCGGAUCGUAGCACUGUGUUAUUAGGAAAGAACAAAUGUGUGGGUAACUAUGCACGUGUUGACGGUGCCUAAUCAGAAAGAACCGGCUAACUACGUG
rnacentral:rRNA from 1 species